AGUGAACGCUGGCGGUAGGCCUAACACAUGCAAGUCGAACGGCAGCACAGUAAGAGCUUGCUCUUACGGGUGGCGAGUGGCGGACGGGUGAGGAAUACAUCGGAAUCUACUUUUUCGUGGGGGAUAACGUAGGGAAACUUACGCUAAUACCGCAUACGACCUACGGGUGAAAGCAGGGGAUCUUCGGACCUUGCGCGAUUGAAUGAGCCGAUGUCGGAUUAGCUAGUUGGCGGGGUAAAGGCCCACCAAGGCGACGAUCCGUAGCUGGUCUGAGAGGAUGAUCAGCCACACUGGAACUGAGACACGGUCCAGACUCCUACGGGAGGCAGCAGUGGGGAAUAUUGGACAAUGGGCGCAAGCCUGAUCCAGCCAUACCGCGUGGGUGAAGAAGGCCUUCGGGUUGUAAAGCCCUUUUGUUGGGAACGAAAAGCAGCAGGUUAAUACCCCGCUGUUCUGACGGUACCCAAAGAAUAAGCACCGGCUAACUUCGU
rnacentral:rRNA from 1 species